UUUCCACCAUGACAGCUGUACUGAGUUUCUUCUUCUUGGCUCUCAUUUCAGCUGCUCAGGGUCAGUCCCUCACCUCCUCAGAGCCAGUGGUCAGCAGAGCUGGACAACCAGUCACUCUGUCCUGUAAAGUGGAAGGACUUGCUCUGGCUUGGCUGCACUGGAUUCGUCAGAAACCAGGGAGAGGACUGGAAUGGAUCGGACGCAUUGAUGCUGGAACCGGCACAAUAUUUGCCCAAAGUGUCCAAGGCCAGUUUACCAUCACCAAAGACACGUCCAGAAAUGUUGUGUCCUUAGAGGUGAAGAGUCUAAAACAAGAAGACUCUGCAGUUUAUUAUUGUGCACGAGAGCCACACAGCUAUGCUAUGAACUGGAUCAGACAGGCUCCUGGAAAAGGACUGGAGUGGAUCGCUUUUAUACACACAGGCAGCAGCCACAUCUAUUACUCUCAGUCGGUCAAAGGCCGGUUUACCAUCUCCAGAGAUGACUCCAGCAGUAAACUCUACCUACAGAUGAACAGUCUGAAGACUGAGGACACAGCAGUGUAUUACUGUGCCAGACACCCACAGUGA